UACGAGUGCCUCGAGCGUUAUCCGGAAUCAUUGGGCGUAAAGGGUGUGUAGGUGGUCAUAUUAGUCUUCUGUUAAAUUCUUCGGCUUAACCGGGGGUCUGCGGAGGAAACGGUAUGACUUGAGGAUGCAAGGGGUCUCUGGAACUCAUAGUGUAGCGGUGAAAUGCGUUGAUAUUAUGGGGAACACCAAAAGCGAAGGCAAGAGACUAGGGCACUCCUGACACUGAAACACGAAAGCGUGGGUAGCGAAUGGG
rnacentral:rRNA from 1 species